CCUACGGGUGGCAGCAGUGAGGAAUAUUGGUCAAUGGUCGGGAGACUGAACCAGCCAAGCCGCGUGAGGGAGGAAGGUACAGAGUAUCGUAAACCUCUUUUGUCAGGGAACAAAGACUGGGACGCGUCCCCGGAUGAGUGUACCUGAAGAAAAAGCAUCGGCUAACUCCGUGCCAGCAGCCGCGGUAAUACGGAGGAUGCGAGUGUUAUCCGGAUUUAUUGGGUUUAAAGGGUGGGCAGGCGGUCUGUUAAGUCAGCGGGCAAAGCCCGGGGCUCAACCCCGGCCCGCCGUUGAAACUGGCAGUCUCGAGUUGGAGAGAAGUAUGCGGAAUGCGCGGUGUAGCGGUGAAAUGCAUAGAUAUCGCGCAGAACUCCGAUUGCGAAGGCAGCAUGCCGGCUCCACACUGACGCUGAGGCACGAAAGCGUGGGUAUCGAACAGGAUUAGAUACCCGAGUAGUC
rnacentral:rRNA from 1 species